rnacentral:rRNA from 1 species
AGAGUUUGAUCCUGGCUCAGGAUGAACGCUGGCGGCGUGCCUAACACAUGCAAGUCGAACGAAGCCUUCGGGCUGAGUGGCGGACGGGUGAGUAACGCGUGAGAAUCUACCUCUAGGACGGGGAUAACAGUUGGAAACGACUGCUAAUACCCGAUGAGCCGCAAGGUAAAAUGUAAUUCGCCUAGAGAGGAGCUCGCGUCCGAUUAGCUAGUUGGUGGGGUAAAAGCCUACCAAGGCAACGAUCGGUAACUGGUCUGAGAGGAUGAGCAGCCACACUGGGACUGAGACACGGCCCAGACUCCUACGGGAGGCAGCAGUGGGGAAUUUUCCGCAAUGGGCGAAAGCCUGACGGAGCAACGCCGCGUGGGGGAAGAAGGUUCUUGGAUUGUAAACCCCUUUUCUCAGGGAAGAAGAUCUGACGGUACCUGAGGAAUCAGCCUCGGCUAACUCCGUGCCAGCAGCCGCGGUAAUACGGAGGAGGCAAGCGUUAUCCGGAAUUAUUGGGCGUAAAGCGUUCGUAGGCGGUCGUUCAAGUCUGCUGUCAAAGACCGAGGCUCAACCUCGGGUCGGCAGUGGAAACUGGGUGACUAGAGGUCGGUAGGGGCAGAGGGAAUUCCCAGUGUAGCGGUGAAAUGCGUAGAUAUUGGGAAGAACACCGGUGGCGAAAGCGCUCUGCUAGACCGAAUCUGACGCUGA